UACGUAGGGUGCAAGCGUUGUCCGGAAUCAUUGGGCGUAAAGCGCGCGUAGGCGGCCCGAUAAGUCCGCUGUAAAAGUCAACGGCUCAACUGUUGAAAGCCGGUGGAUACUGUUGGGCUAGAGUACGGAAGAGGCAAGUGGAAUUCCUGGUGUAGCGGUGGAAUGCGCAGAUAUCAGGAGGAACACCUAUAGCGAAGGCAGCUUGCUGGGACGUUACUGACGCUAAGGCGCGAAAGCGUGGGGAGCGAACAGG
rnacentral:rRNA from 1 species